UUACAUUGCCACAUGCAUUCACAGUGAAGUGGUCCAUUUUUAUCUGUUUUCCUCUAAAGGCCCCUGCAUUUCACGCUACAGCAAGAUACAGUGUGCCAUACAAAGCCAUCUUCAAUAGUGGAAUUCAACCUGGCAAGAACAUUUCCAUCCAAGGUGUAGUUAAUCCUCAAGCUUCCAGUGAGCUGUGGCGGGGUUAAAAGAAGGGAAGAGGAGAACCAGAGAAGGAGAGCUGAGUACAGAAUUCUUGUGCAUAUUUAAAAUAGAAAGGCUAAAAAGCAAGAUAAGCACACUUUCACAGUUUCCUUUUUCCUGAACCUGCUACAUUGCCUAACUGUCUUAUUUCUACACAUCUGCAUUUUGUAACUGCUGAUGUUGUAAUAUUCUGUACUGACCUGCCGCAGUUGGUGUCACAGUAGAAUAUACAUCAUGCACUUCUGAGCUUACUUUAACCUUAAACAACAGGCUCAAGUGACAACCAUUUGGCUAGAUUUGAACAUUAGUUUUUUGGUUUUGUCUUAAUUCCAUCUUUUAGUGUAUUGUCUCAGUAUAUUUACAUGGUACAUGCGUUUACACUGUAAUGCCUCAUUUUAGGUUUUAUUUUGUUCUGACUUUUCAAGUAUCAGUGGCAUCCAUAUGAAUUACAAGUACAUCCCAUUCACCAAUAGGUUUCAGAACAGGAUCCUGUUCUAGCAUUUUUUUUCUAGCAUUUUCUCCAUAUUCCUUAUCACAUCAUCCUCCCAGUAAUGUGAGUGUGGAAGUUAUCUCUGAACACCUUUAAGAGCAGUCCUGGUCCACCCACUCCUGGUGGCUAUUAAACACAACUGAGGCAUAUAUUAUUUUAAAUGGACAAUCUAUACACAGAUAGAACUAUUCACAUUCUCUAAUAAAAAAAAACACUGAUCAGUGGUUAUUAUUAAUCAUUAAAUGUCCCACCAUUUCAUAAUAAAUAAAUAAAUCACAAUGUCUAACUCUCUCA